AAAGAUUUGAAUAAAUAACCAAAGACAGUAGGUAGACUUGUUCUAUAAUCCCUACCGAGGUAAUAAUCAUCAAUAAUAAAUGAAAUAGUAAAUUAGACAUUUGUUAGAUAUGUACCUCUGGGCUUAUUGUUUUUGUUUCAGAGGUUUUUAACAUGAGGA
rfam:Leptotrichia goodfellowii F0264 contig00117, whole genome shotgun sequence.